UUUUGCAGCCAUACCAACCUUAGGCUGUAUUCUUAUAAGAUCUGAGGGUGGGACCUGGUUAGUGGUUGAUGGGAGACCUCCCAGGAAAUCCCGGUGGUAGUUCAGU
rnacentral:rRNA from 1 species